rnacentral:tRNA from 1 species
ACCUUGGUGGCUCAGUUGCUUGAGCGUCUGACUUCAACUCAGGUCAUGAUCUCAAGGUU